AAGACCAGAGAUAAAGUUUCAGAUACAGAAAAUUGCUGGUGCAAGGACUCCUAAGGCAGGGAGAAGAAGAGGUUGCCUGACUUCUCAUUUGCUCAGAGAAGAACUCCAGAAAGCCGCACAACAGCAAAGGGUGAAAUCAAAUUCCAGGGACCCAGGGAGAGACAAAGCAGGGAUAGAAACGACUUCACCUAAACCAAAGAUAAAAGAGGCAAGGAAACAUCCUGGAAAUGGCCUCAGAGAACCACAUGCCAAGCCCAGUGUGUCUCAUUGAGAACACUGAAGGGCAGCUAGUGGCCAAUCAGGACGCUCUGAACAUCCUGUCCGCCAUUACGCAGCCUGUCGUGGUGGUGGCUAUUGUGGGCCUCUACCGCACAGGCAAAUCCUACCUGAUGAACAAGCUGGCUGGGAAGAAAAAGGGUGAGUGGCGUGAUCUUGG